CCGGCCAAGCCCCUGAAACCCAGUAUUUAUAAGGCAGGAAACGUCUUUUCUUUCAAGUGAAUUUCGCUUUUCCUAAAGAAUUGCUUUGGGCGGAGUUAAACCAGGGCUGGAUUGGGACUCAGAGAUCUGAGAUUUUUAUCCUGGCCCUGCCCCUUACAAACUAUGCACCAGGUAUCUCUCUCCUCCGUGGGCCUCAGUUUCUCUAUCGUAAAAUGAACCAGUGGUGUAGGACAGUGAUUUCAAACUUCAGUGCACAUUCAAUAAAUAUUUACUAACCUCAUAGGGUGGGGGCCUGCAGGGUUCUAGGAAACGGGGUUUGGCAAUCAAUCAGGCUAGCAAGUUCUCUGUCCUCACGGAAUUUACACUCUAAGGUGGAGAAAGACCAUAAACGAGGUGAUAAGUGCUUGUGUAGUAUCUAUGAAGACAGUAACUACUACAGUGGUAGGUUAGACUCGAGCAGCUCCUUUAGUAUGGAUGAUGAAGGAAAACUUUGAAUACAGAUUCCAAAUGUUUUAGAAUUAAGUAUGCCUGGUACAGGACCUAGAAAGUGUCUAAGAACCCCCGGCCCCGCCCCCCCUUGGGUGCUUACCCAUCAGAUGGCCCUACAAUUCACUGGGAGAAUUCCUGGCCUCUUUGGCUGUGAUCCUGCUUGCUCAAGACAUAACAGCCUGGGAUGUCGGCCAUCUCCAAAGGCAAGGAUCAGAACACAGGACCUGCUGGAUACCGGAGGAGGCUUAUGAGAGACAGAGGAAGCUGCCCCAGGGACCGGGGACUGAGAGACCAAGGGACCAAGGGACCAGAGAGCCCAGAGACCAGCCCAUCUUUGGCUUUGCCGAAUGACUUUGGACAGCCUCUCUACCUUCCUGGGCUUCCAUUUCUCCAUCCACAAAACGUCUCAAUUUUCUUCUCUGAGCUAAUAUAGUGGAAACAAUGGCCUCACGUUGGAAAGAGACCCUGCUUCUGGAUCUGACUCUUCCUUGCCUUGAUGGAGAACAUGAGGCUCAGAAAGCUGCAGUGACUUGUCAAGGUCACACAGCGGAGCUGAAACCAGCACCCAAAGUUUCUGCCCCUCAGGAGAAGCAUCUUUCGACCAGACCCUGCUUUGCUGAGCUUCAAGAAACCCAGAUUGUCAGUACUCACCAGGGCUGCUGAAAAGGGUCAGGACAGGGAAAUGGCUUCUCCCUUGCACCUGUGGGCUCCUUCCUGGCGGGCAGUUGCCAAGGCCACGCUGUCUUUCCUCCCUGGGCGUCUGCCAGGGCAGCUAGGCAUGGGAGCUGUCCUGGAAAGCCAGCUCUGGGCAAGGUGAAAGAGGCCUCUGAAGAAAGCAACCUCCAGGACAUAAAAUGACCAGGCCCUGGGGUCACGAAGUGGCCACGGAGGGCUUAAUUUCAUCUAGCUUGAACAGCUGCCUCUGGCCCCCACUGGGGAGCUCUCCAGGUGGCAUGGCUGGUUUUCCUGCCAGCUGCUGGGUGCCUUUAAGAGAAUGACUACAGUUCAUUGGCUGAGCAAGGCUCCCCCUACCUCUUUACCUGAGCAGGUGAGAAAAGCCAGGCUAGGGGAGGGCUGGGGACUCAGGUGAGAAAACAAAACCGUGGCGACCAGCUGGCUCUCCCUUCCUUCACAGACAGCCCUUCCUUCCUGGGCUUCCUUCCUUAUCCCCACCUCAACCACAGGACCAGCUGGAGGGAGAGAAAGGGCAAACAUUCUGCAGACUGCCUAAUGCCUCUCAGUUCACAAAGCUUCACUAUCUCUACAUAACCCUAGACCAGAGUUAUUUGUAUGUCUUCUCUGUCCAUGGAGAACUGUCCUUGGAGAUAUGAAAUGUCCAACUCACGCAGCUCUUGGAAGGAAGGUUGACAGAGUAGGACGGUGUGAGGAUUCAAACCUGAGUCUCCUGCUUUUGACUUCCACCCACUGCUCCUGGACCAAAUCACCUCCCUCUCUAUAAGGCCUUUGACAAGCCACUCACUGCCUCAGUUUCCAUAUCUGUAAGAUGGUACAGUCUUGCUUGUAGGUGAGUCUACACUCAGUUUGUUGAGUGUAUCAUAGACUUAGAGCUAAAAAGGACUUAGGAGAUGAUCUAGCUCAUCCAUGCAUCUAGCAGCCAUUGCUUCAUUCUGCAGGCAUUGUUAUUCAGCAACUAUUAUGUGCCACACCUAUUUUAAAUCCUAGGGCUACAUCGGUGAACAGGAAAGUCAAGGACCUUAUUGAGUUUGCAUUCUAGAAAGAGGAAAGACAGACAUAAGUAAACAGAUUAGAUAGGUAAAAGUACCCUGAAGAAAUGAAAUAGGCUGAUAUGAUAAAGUCAUGGGGGGGGGGGGGGGCUAGUUUAGAUUAUGUGGUCGCUAAGGCCCUCUCUGAUGAGGUGAUAUUGAAGCUGAGGCUUGAAUAACCAGCCAUUAGAAAAACCAGUCAUUAGAGGAGCUGGAGCAAGAAUCUUCCAGGAACGGAGAACUAUAAGUGCAAAGGCCCUGAGGUAGGGGUAUUUGGAGAAUAGAAAGAAAGCUGCCUGUGGCUAGAAUAUAGUCCAAUCCUUGUACUCCUUUUUAAUAGAUAAGGAAAUGAUUCAGAGCAAUGGCUUGCCCAAGAUCCCCUCUUGCAAAUUUCUCUUUCCUUUCUUUAUCCUCAUUCAUUAUGGAGGGAAACUGAAGUCUGGAGUUCAUCAGCACUUGAGUUACCAAUAAAACAAUCAUUGUACGAGCCUACACUGCUUUGACCUCAUGUUUCUUCCACUCUGUAGACAUGUGUAAAUUCCCAAAGGGCAGGGGCUAUGAUUUUAGGAGUUUCCUACAUUGAAGAACCAAAUCCUGACCAACAGAAUAUAGUGCUAAAAAAAAGCAGCAGCAAUGUAAACUGCCCUAUUGUGACAUAAGGUCAGUACAGACCUUUCCUGUUCAAUUCCUUUCCACUGUCAUUUUCAGAAUUUUUACUCUGAUUUUUUAAAAGGGCUCUCUGUUGUCAGUCAUCAUGUUGUUGAUGGUAACACUGGGAUUGUUAUUCUGAAACUGUUGGUAAGUAGUGUAGGGUAAAGCAAGUGAAUUUCAUGGUGGUGGUAUUGGGAACCAGGACUUUUAAUGUGAGAGAAAGGAAAUACAAAUGAAAGACAAAAGGGGUUAAGUAAAAAUUUUAUAAUCCUGGAUUUAAGUCAGAAGUUCCAGUGUGAAUUUUUGAUGCAGCUGAUCUGAAAACAAACACCAUAUUCCCUGGCUCUGCCUAUUGUUGUCAGGUCUAGAAAUAACAAUCAACACUUGAAUGAGCACCUUUAGGGUCCAGACU